rnacentral:lncRNA from 10 species
CUGGUAGUGGGCGGGGCCCUAGAACUCCCAAGAUUCUAUACCUUUUGUCUUCCGCUGCCGCGUGGAUAGGGAAGGACCAUCAGGUUGGGGCAGGGCGAGGCGUGUCUGAGCUCAGACUUUACUUGGGCGGGUCUUGCUGCAGCUGCUGUGGAGAAUGGGGGUCACAUGGAAUCUACACAUGGAAGGACAUAGGCAUUGCAUGCAGGUAUCCGGAAUCAUUGAUAUUGGUCUUAAAAUUUGGAAGUUUCCACUUUUGCUAAGACUGCCAUUUAUAAUGAGCCCUACGGAGAGGCCAUGUGGCAAGAAGCUGAGGCUGCCAGAGGGAACCUGAGGCCUGCCAGCAACCACAUACAUGAGUUUGGAAGUUAAUUCUUCAGCUUCCUUUGAGUCUUGAGGUAGCUACAGCCUGGCCAGAACUUGACUAAACUUCAUAAGGGACACUGAGCCAGAAACACCUAACUAAGCAAAUUCUGGUUUUAUGACCUUCAGAAAUUGUGUGAAAUAAUAAAUAUUUGUUGUUUUCAUUAUUCACCAUAGCAAAGUCAUGGAAUCAACCUAGGUGCCCAUCAACAGUGGAUUGGAUAAAAAAGGUGCACAUAUAACGCAUGGAAUACUAUGCAACCAUAAAAAAGAAUGAAACCACAUCCUUUGCAGCAACAUAGUUACAGCUAUAGAGCAUAAUCCUAAGCAAAUUAACACAGGAACAGAAAAGCAAAUAUUGCCUGUUCUCACUUAUAAGUGGGAGCUAAACAUUGGGUAUACAUGGACAUAAAGAUGGAAACAAUAGAUGAUGAGGACUCCGAAAUGGGGAAAGAACUGGAGUAACGGUUGAAAACCUACCUGUUGGGUACUAUGUUCACUAUUUGGGUAACAGAUUCAGUAGAAGCCCAAACCCUAGCAUUAUGCAAUGCACCCAUGUAACAAACCUGCACAUGUACCCACUGAAUCUAAAAUAAACUGUAUUUGUUGUUGUAAGAUGCUAAAGUUUGGGAUAAGUUGUUCUGCAACAAUAGGAGUGUGUGUGUGUGUGUGUGUGUGUGUGUGUGUGUGUGUAGAGAGAGAGAGAGAGAUACAGAAAGACAGAAGAAAAGAAUAUUUUUGGCAAGUAAAACUUGCAUAUUAAUGAAAAGAAAGGAUAUUUUUGAUAAAGUAAAUUCUAAAAUACAAUAUAUAAACUAAUACAUAUAUCUGUUUGGAUUUAAUAGAUCAGAGACCAUUGUAAAAACAGUGUGCCUAUUGCAUAAAUAUCCCUAAUAAAAAACUCACAAUUCUGUAAUAAAAUUAUUAUAUAUUUUAAUUUUGAAAGAUGUUUCAAGGCUGAACUAUCCAGAUGAAAGAGGUGAAAUCCACAUAAUUAUGCUUGAAAGCAUAUGGUUUUAAUUUUUAUAUUUUUGUAAUUAAGUGAAGAAAUUAAGGGGCAUUGAAGAUUUCACCUCUAAGCAGCUCACAGUUUUCCUAAGCUUGGACUAGGUGACAACUCUCUCAAUCUCACUCAAAACAUAUUUUAGUAUAAAUUAAGGUUAAUCUGUGAAUAGAUGUCAAUAACAUUUUCCUAUUAAAUAAAUACAAAUACCUUGACUUUAAGAUACAAAAAAACUACUUGUCAUUUAGUAUUUUGUAUUUUUAACUUGCCAGAUUUAUGUCAUAAUAUAAAUGCCAGAAUUUUGUCUAGGUGAAAUAAGAAUCAUCUGAAACACAUUCAUUAUUAUUUCAUCAGAAUAAGCUUGAAUUAUGUUUUUGUAUAUUUCAGUAAAAUUAUGAUGAGAAAACAAACUAUAAAGGCCAAAAUAUUUCUAUUGCUUACUCAUUAAAAUGUUUUUAAAGAUUCAACAU